CCUACGGGAGGCAGCAGUGAGGAAUAUUGGUCAAUGGCCGGACGGCUGAACCAGCCAAGCCGCGUGAAGGACGAAGGUGCCAAGCAUUGUCAACUUCUUUUGUCAAGGGACAAACUCAGGCUCGAGAGCCUGACCGAGGGUACUUGAAGAAAAAGCAUCGGCUAACUCCGUGCAAGCAGCCGCGGUAAUACGGAGGAUGCGAGCGGUAUCCGGAUUUAUUGGGUUUAAAGGGUGCGUAGGCGGACUGUUAAGUCAGCGGUAAAAGCCCGGGGCUCAACCCCGGCGAGCCGUUGAAACUGGCUGUAUUGAGAUGUAGAGAGGUAUGCGGAAUGCGCAGUGUAGCGGUGAAAUGCUUAGAUAGUGCGCAGAACUCCGAUUGCGAAGGCAGCAUACCGGCGGCGAUCUGACGCUGAGGCACGAAAGCGUGGGUAUCGAACAGGAUUAGAUACCCGUGUAGUC
rnacentral:rRNA from 1 species